CCAAACUGUGCUCUUGUUUCAAAAUCUCAAACUUUAAUUUCAUUAGUGAAACACUUACAUCACUCAUCAACGCAUCUGUAGCUGUCAGGCGCUCAAGCGGAUCAAGAGCCAAAAGCCUAUCAACUAACGAAAGCGCCUCAGGAGAGAAAUCUUUAAAAGCCUCUCUUACUUUCCUCUUAUGCUGUGGUUUAGCCAUGUGAUUAGAAGGAAGCCUAAUCUUUCUCCAAUACUCUUCAGAAGGCGAUCCGCAUAACUUAUAUAUCCUAUGUAUCUGAUCAACCUGCGUCACAUUUUCACAUUAACACAUGAACAAACCAAACAAUCCUCAAAAACCUGAAAACAUCAAAAUACUAACCUCGUUACGACCUGCCAUAAUCGGUCUACCAGAUAACAACUCUGCUAAAAUUUCGGGGUGGAGCUGUAAUCUAGGACGGCGAGAAUCGCUCGAGCUACAUGACUAGCGGUGGAGCUGAAUCAGCAAAUUGAGAGAGAGCGGAGGUCUCUGGUGUAGCUUUGGUGGGGUUUAUGAAACCUACCGUGGUUCUUAAAUACACUCUAAUUUUAUUAACUAGAUUUUUUUAGUUAAUCAAUUUUUGUAGCACAAUGAAGCCAAUGGAGAAGGAGGUAAUGAUGGAUGUAAUAGCUGGAACUAUGGUUUUGAAGGGGAAACUGGUGAUGCUCUCACAUCAAGUCCUUACAUGUUUGACAAAUGAAGAAUUUUCAUUUAGCUUUGAUGAUUUCUCAGGUAAAACUGUUGCCAACAAAAACAUGAUAUUGUUGUUAACAAUCUUAUAUGAUAUCAGGGAACACCAAUGAUGCUAAUGGGAGACGAAUAAAGACACACCCGAUCGAUAUGGUAAUAACAAUAGCUACGGACAUGAUACGGCUCUCAACAAUUUCCACUGGAAAGAGGCAAGUCUUAACAUCUUGCUGUUGUUAUUGAUUCUCCCCUGAACUCUUGUACCAUGUCUUGUUGUUUCUUUUAAAAAAAUCCAGCUCGACGCAAAGAAGGAGAGCCAUUUCAGGUUCUUUUCAGAGUUGAUCAAGUUCUGACAUUCACGCCAUGUACUCAAGCACGAAAAUUUCCUCAGCAAAGGCGUGAUUACGUGGCAUGAAGAUAAUUGGGACAAUCCUGAGAGCAAGUUCCUAGCUUUCACGCUCCAUGAUGGUAUAAGCGGCCAAGACGUCUAUGCGGCUUUCAACGCCCAUGACUACUUUGUCAAGGCUCUUAUUCCACUGCCACCGUGGGGAAAGCAAAGCAAUGGUUCCGUGUGGUAAGUGUUUCUUUCUUUCAUCAUCUUUGGUGCUCUGACUUUUCAUGACCGACUCAAUUGUCAUGUUUGGCACUAGGCUGACACAAACCUCGAUCGAGUCACCGGAUGAUUUUGUAAAGGAAGGUGUGGCUGAGACAUACAAUGUGGCUCCAUUCUCUUCGAUCCUUCUCAAGUUCAUGUAAAGCAAAGCAUGCACAUCCUUCGUGAAAGAUCCAUAAGUGUUUAUUUGAUUAAUGUAUAUGUAAAAUUCUAAAAUAGACGACAUUUCCA